AUUGGAUAUCAGCAGUAGUCCAGUGAACUGUGAAGACGCAGCAUCAAAGGACAGAAAGUGAGUGUGUAAUUUUUUAAGUUCAAGACGAGAAACACUUGUGGAGAUCUGCAAAGAGCCCGCCGACAAACAUCGUAUGACAAACGAGUGAAAUUAUUUCUGACUGCCUUGUAAAAUGGAACGGCAACAACUAAGUGGAGCACAAAAACGAAAGCUCACAGAAGAUAAAAAGAAAAGGAUCUGUGAGUCCCUAAAGACAAUUCCGAAAUUAACUUCCUCUUUAAAA